rnacentral:tRNA from 1 species
CGGGACGUGGCUCAGCCAGGUAGAGCGCACGACUGGGGGUCGUGAGGUCGCCGGUUCAAGUCCGGCCGUCCCGA